AAAUUGAAGAGUUUGAUCAUGGCUCAGAUUGAACGCUGGCGGCAGGCCUAACACAUGCAAGUCGAACGGUAACAGGAAGAAGCUUGCUUCUUUGCUGACGAGUGGCGGACGGGUGAGUAAUGUCUGGGAAGCUGCCUGAUGGAGGGGGAUAACUACUGGAAACGGUAGCUAAUACCGCAUAACGUCGCAAGACCAAAGAGGGGGACCUUCGGGCCUCUUGCCAUCGGAUGUGCCCAGAUGGGAUUAGCUAGUAGGUGGGGU
rnacentral:rRNA from 1 species